GUUUAUAUAAUUUAAAAAAAAUAUUAAUUUUGUAAAUUAAAUAUACUAUUAUAGUUAUAAACU
rnacentral:tRNA from 1 species